rnacentral:rRNA from 1 species
CCCUUAGGUGUUCUGGGCCGCACGCGCGCUACACUGACGGAGCCAACGAGUAUUUUCCUUGUCCGGAAGGACUGGGUAAUCUUGUGAAACUUUGUCGUGCUGGGGAUAGAGCAUUGUAAUUAUUGCUCUUCAACGAGGAAUUCCUAGUAAGCGUGAGUCAUCAGCUCGCGUUGAUUACGUCCCUGCCCUUUGUACACACCGCCCGUCGCUACUACCGAUUGAAUGGCUUAGUGAGCCUUUGGGAUUGGCAGCCAACACCGGCAACGGUAGCUGGCCGCCGAAAACUUAUGCAAACUUGAUCAUUUAGAGGAAGUAAAAGUCGUAACA